AGUGUUUCAUGCAUUCGUCGAUGUCCCACUUCCCGGUCAACACGGACAUGAUAAAGCAGAGUACCGUUCUGUCCGAGUUGAUCGUUUCACCUGUCCGUGCCGUCGAGAAGGAGCUGAUCCAUCCGAUUGUCAAUUUUGGCGAGUUGGGACCGAUUCGAUACACGGCCUACAUGUGUCCGUAAAUCCACUUCAUCGACGGCGGACGUUGUUCCAGUGCCCGGAACGUACGACAUUGUGAUCACCAAGGACUACUGCCGGAAUAACAGCCCGUCGAAGGUACUGGCGAUGCUGUUCGUGAUUGACAAUAAGGCCGGGCUGGUUCAAUUGCUGUGCGCGGAGUUCAAGAACAACAUUCGUCACUUGCCCGUGGAUGAGGGACAGGAGCGUGCUUCGAUUAAGGUCCAUGAAGCUUCAUCACUUACAGUCCCAGAUGGCGGUCGUCGGAGAUGUCCAGGAAAUGUUCAUGCCCUGCUGUUCACAUCCUGCUCGGACCAGCGCCAGCUGCGCGUGUUUAAUCUGAGCCUGAAGACGUGCAACCAGUUGGUGGAUAUUUUCCGCAGUAGCGAUUUGGAUACGACCAAUCUGUUCUUCGCCAAGCAGGGCCUGUUCAAGCUGCAGGAUAAUAAGCCGUAGGCAAUCAAGGACAGCCUGAUCAUGAGGGCGGCCCAGAUUUUGGCCUGCUACCGGAAGAACUGGGCAUCGUCUACGUCCGCCGACCAGCUCGUCUUGCCGAAUUGCGUGAAAUCGCUACCACUGUACAUUAAGUGUCUGCUGAGAACGUCGUCUUUUCGAGGGGUAUAAGGAUUCCACUCUGAACGACCGAUCUUACGUGAUCUACUUUGUGCAGCGCAGGUGCUGACAUCGGUUCCGGACUUUUACCCGUGGUUGACGCCGGUGCACGGAAAUCAGAGCGAUAUUCGUUCGAAUAUCUGUUGGUGUGCUAUUCGUAUCUGUCCGGAAUAUCAUUCGAUUCACAAUUAUCCUGUGCCACGUGAUGCUGAACGGUUUUGAAACAAGCUGGACAAGACCUUCAAGACAUCCAUCAAGGAACGUGGAGGAAGCGAAGAAAAUGUCCAUAGAAAAAUCAAACGAGAACUGCCCAAACUCAUGAAAGGAUGUUUCGAUGCUAUCCCGGGUUCGUCCGGUUCUGCAACCACGAAGGAUCGUCGUCCAAUUUGGAAAGCAGUGCUGAAAACUAGACUAGACUAGAAUUACGACGGGAAGGUGCACGGGAAUAAAGAAGGGAGUUUCUUUUCUUUAAAUCGGGACUAGUAAAACCGACACGCUUAUGAGCAAGUAAAAGAGGAAGAAUCGGUUGCGUUCAGUUCAAGAAAGACUCGAGCUAGAAUCACGUGUAAAACUUGACCGUCCGUGCAAAACUUAGACGCAACACUUUGGAAAAAGUUAUACAAUUGCAACAGCGACUAAUAAAUUUUGGUGUGAUAUUGAGUGGGAUGCGUUUUCUUUUAUAAAAAUAGCAUCCGCUGAGGGAAACUAACGUGCAUAAAUCAAUUAAUUCUUUUUUUAUAGUUUUAUUCAAAUCCUUUGUAAUAAAUCUGUUUUCGUCGAGCGUGGUGAAUAACUGGUUGAGUGCG